rnacentral:rRNA from 1 species
CCUACGGGUGGCAGCAGUGAGGAAUAUUGGUCAAUGGGCGCGAGCCUGAACCAGCCAAGUCGCGUGAAGGAUGACUGCCCUACGGGUUGUAAACUUCUUUUAUAAAGGCAUAAAGUGAGGCACGUGUGCCUUUUUGUAUGUACUUUAUGAAUAAGGAUCGGCUAACUCCGUGCCAGCAGCCGCGGUAAUACGGAGGAUCCGAGCGUUGUCCGGAUUUAUUGGGUUUAAAGGGAGCGUAGAUGGGUUGUUAAGUCAGUUGUGAAAGUUUGCGGCUUAACCGUAAAAUUGCAAUGGAUACUGGCAGUCUUGAGUACAGUUGAGGUAGGCGGAAUUCGUGGUGUAGCGGUGAAAUGCUUAGAUAUGACGAAGAACUCCGAUUGCGAAGGCAGCUUACUAAACUGCCACUGACAUUGAUGCUCGAAAGUGUGGGUAGCAAACAGGAUUAGAUACCCCGGUAGUC